CUUCCUGCGUAAGUGGCCCGGAUAAUUAUGGCGACUCUCAGAGCGUUUGUGUCGCUGUGGAGCGUCCAGGCGGGUUCUCAGGGCACCAGGCGGGUCUGUUUCCGGGCCCGCGCUCCUCCCCAGUCCGGUGCCCUGUUCCGGCCUCUGCCCGGGGUCUGCGGGGUAGGAACGCCAUGCCGUGGGCUCGGCUCCGAGGCCGAAUCUGGUAGCCCAAAGAUAAAGAAACCUACCUUUAUGGAUGAGGAAGUUCAAAGCAUACUCAUCAAGAUGACAGGCCUAGAUUUGCAGAAGAUUUUUAAGCCAGCUGUACAAGAAGUGAAGCCACCAACUUAUAAGCUAAUGACCCAAGCACAGUUGGAAGAGGCUACAAGACAGGCAGUUGAGGCAGCUAAAGUUCGAUUAAAAAUGCCACCAGUUCUGGAAGAGCGAGCUCCAAUAAAUGAUGUGUUAGCUGAAGAUAAGAUUUUGGAAGGAACAGAAACAGCCAAAUAUGUGUUUACUGAUAUAUCAUACAGCAUACCACACCGGGAGCGUUUUAUUGUUGUCAGAGAACCAAGUGGCACACUACGCAAAGCCUCUUGGGAAGAACGGGACCGGAUGAUUCAAAUUUAUUUCCCAAAAGAAGGUCGUAGAAUUUUAACACCAGUAAUUUUCAAGGAAGAAAAUCUGCAGACCAUGUACAGCCAAGACAGACAUGUUGAUGUCCUCAAUCUCUGCGUUGCCCAGUUUGAGCCAGAUUCUGCUGAAUAUAUCAAAAUUCAUCAUCAGACCUACGAAGAUAUAGAUAAAUAUGGAAAGUAUGACCUUUUACGUUCAACAAGACACUUCGGUGGAAUGGCUUGGUAUUUUGUAAAUAAGAAAAAGAUUGAUGGUUUACUGAUUGACCAGAUUCAGAGAGAUUUGAUGCUGAUUCUUAACGAAUGGGUUCCUGUGAAUAUGACAGGCAGCCUGGGAGUCUUUCCCUGGACUCCUGGGAUGCCUCUUAUAGAGGCAUUUAUCCACUAAUUGAGUCUCGAUGAAAAUUCUUCAGCAGAUGUCACUGCUAAUGCACCUAAAGAGUCGACGAUGCCACCAGCUUGGUCCAGCUCUAUCACAUCCUCCAUCCAGACGGUCAGUCAGCUCAAGAGGCCAGAGAGCAGGCUGCUGAGGG